AUGAACGCUGGCGGCGUGCCUAAUACCUGCCAGUCGCGCGAACAGACGAGGAGCUUGCUCCUCUGACGUUAGCGGCGGACGGGUGAGUAACACGUGGAUAACCUACCUAUAAGACUGGGAUAACUUCGGGAAACCGGAGCUAAUACCGGAUAAUAUAUUGAACCGCAUGGUUCAAUAGUGAAAGACGGUUUUGCUGUCACUUAUAGAUGGAUCCGCGCCGCAUUAGCUAGUUGGUAAGGUAACGGCUUACCAAGGCGACAAUGCGUAGCCGACCUGAGAGGGUGAUCGGCCACACUGGAACUGAGACACGGUCCAGACUCCUACGGGAGGCAGCAGUAGGGAAUCUUCCGCAAUGGGCGAAAGCCUGACGGAGCAACGCCGCGUGAGUGAUGAAGGUCUUCGGAUCGUAAAACUCUGUUAUUAGGGAAGAACAAAUGUGUAAGUAACUAUGCACGCCUUGACGGUACCUAAUCAGAAAGCCACGGCUAACUACGUG
rnacentral:rRNA from 1 species